CCUCGGCUCCUCUGUUCACCCAGAAACAUGAAUGGGUACGCCGCAAUUAGUCAAUGGGCAGAUCGCUCGUGGUUAGGUAAAGUGGGGAAUACCCCCACCCCUUUCAGAAUGGACGGCCAGCUUGGAAGAGUAGACCAAACACCCUCUGUAAGGAUUCUCUAGAGAGCUCCCGGCAGUGGAGGCCUUUCCCUCGAGAGUCGUGCGAUGAGAAACGCAUGGCUGCGCUUGUCUUUUGUGUCCUUUAUUGUUUGAAGUUAUUUGUGUAUAUCUCGCUAAAACUCCACGUUUAUAUAUAUAAAAAAAAAUUACCGAAUGAAGACCACACUGCUUCCUAAUCACAGUCUACCCGUGCUUUCACCCAUAAAGGGGUUGUAAUUUAUUUCACUAUUAAGUGGUCGAGGCGUACAUUUUCAUUGACACAACAUUUCACGCUGAAAGAGCUCGACAGAUACAUCUGGCACUCCAAGCAGAACAAUGGCAAACAAAGAUCCGCGCCUCUACCGCGCGGACAUCCUCCCCGUGCUGCUGCUUCUGCCGCAGCACGGCUCCGCUGUGGACAAUGUCAGCGGCUUUUGUUUUUUGCGUGCAGGAUUACUGCUGAACGUGUUCGAGCCGUGGUUGUCCGUGACGGUCCCACACUCGGCAUCCGCAAAAGCGAGCAGCGUCACAGAGCGCCGGCGUCCGUACGUCGGACGGCACCCCCCUCCGGUGGUGACCGAACGCGGUCAGGGUCAGGAGACGUCGCGUCUUCGGAACCACGUGGCUCGGGUGGGUGGCCCGAUCGCAACCACGGGCCCCCCCCACGCCGCACCGCGGCCACGGUCGUCGACGGGUGGCGGCCGUGGAGCUGCUCCCACGGCGGGACUGGAGCCGACCUCGGGACAGACCGCGAUGGGGCCGACGUGAAACGUCACGGGCUGGGAGCGUGCCCGGCGUGGCGGCGCGCUCAGGGCAAGCGGGUCGCGUGGCGGCAUCUCGCGGGGACCGCGACCGGUGAUGACGACGAUGAGCACGACGAUGGCGGCGGCCAACAUCAGCAGCAAGUGAUAUCAGAACCGGUCGCACUGAUCAGUUUUGGUGAAGUUUUGGUGAAUUAUGGGUAAAAAAAACUACCCCAUGACCGAACAUGGCGUGGGGGAGGAAGAUGACCACCUCUCAAUCCAUGUUGGUUGUGAGCGUUUUGUCGACGUUAUCAUCAUAGUUGACUUCAUUUUACCAGGUGAGAAUCAAAACGAUUAAUAUUCUUGGUUCUUUCGGUAAAGUCACUUAAAUAGAAAAUAAAAAAACGAUUUAAUGUUAGUGGCUGUGGGACAUUGCCACCAAACCGGCAGAGAUUCAGAAGACACAAUAGAUAGUGACACUGGAGGAGGUUGGAUGGACGAAUAUAGUUUUUGUGCUCCUAUUUAUGUAAUUAUUUUGCCAGAAUGUUAUUUAAAAUCUCAGAGAACCAAAAAAACUAUCAAAAUAUUUAUUAUAUUUCCAUUUAAUUACACAAAAUACCAGACUACUUCCAGUGCUCCCAUCGCAGGAUGAUUGUGAGAAGAGACAGCUGUGUCUUAUUUGAUGUUGCAGCGCAACGGGCUCCUCCACUAGCACCAUUACAAAUAAGGCUUCGGCAAAUUGUGUUAGGUUUCUAUUGUAAAAAAAAAAUCACAAUUCAAUCAGAGAGAGCGGAUUCUAUUCCAGACUACACAGACAUGACUCGUGUUCUGCUUCAGUCAUACACAGGUGCUGGUCACACUGGAGUGUUAAACCAGAACUAGGUCACGUGCAGAAUGGUCCCCAGUGCCACAGUUUGUUUGACUGCAGGAGAGUUUGCUGUGGAAAUUUGUAAAAAUUGCAUUUUGGUUGGCAAGGUCAUUUAAAAUAAUUGCGUUUUUCUGCCCAUGUACAAUUUAAUACCGAAUAAGAUUAACAGAUCUUGUCACAUCUCAGAAGCUAAGCAGGAUUUUUUGAGCCUGCAUAGGGCUUGGAUUAGUGACCACCAUGUAUAAGAGGUUUGAGAUAAGACGGCUGCGGGCUAUUUAGGAGGCAGUGCAGCACGAUCCAUUGCUGUACUGUGCUUCUAUGCUCCCAAAUCUAUGCUCCGUACCUUCACCAACUCGUACUGACCAUUGUAGUGAAGUAUUGGUUCAUAACCAUCUCGAUCCAACCGGUACGGAAAGGGGGGAGGCCCUCAAGGCAGUGUACUGCCAAAAGGGCUCCCCGUGUGCACACGCGCCUUUAAUGCAUUGUCUGAAGGCAUCAAAACACCAGUAACCUCACAUUCUUGGUUCUUUCGGUAAAGUCACGUUGAAGGGAAACAUUAAAAUAAUAAAAUAUAUAUAUAUAAACCAGUGACCUCGUAAAACAACAUUGCACUUGCUUUUAAAACUGGUGACGGAUAAAUUUUUCGGUGUCUUAGGGAAGGAAAAAAAAACUGCCCAUUCAACUAAGGUCAUAAAGCCCACGUUGAUUCACAGCGCCAGUGUCUCAAUAAUGAAGAGGCAGGCGAAGGUGUCAUUUCAUAAGUUGGCUCGAAGUCAGACGUCUCUCCACCACAGGAUCGCCGCCUCCCUGUUCGUGUGAAUUUCCACGUGAGGAAGGGUGUCCCCACACUCAGAUUAAUUUUAAUGCAAUUGCUUUGUGAAAUGUACGAGCACGCGACCAAGGCAUGCCAUAUGGAUAAUUAAAAGCGAGUGUUUUUCAAUGCUAAGCACGAUUUAUUUUUGACGAAUGGACCUUUUUUCCCCCAUCACAAACAAACAAAUCAAUGUGCAAAGGAGGAGCCUUCAAAUGUAUGCGUGUGCUUUUAUAUUUUAGUAAAUUGAUUUGGUUCUUAACCUAUUUGGGGGGGGGGGGCGAGGAGGAGGUUCAGUUGUUAGCACAGUAGGCUUUCAACCAAAUUAUCUCGGUUCGAUUCCCAGCCAUGAAUAUAACAUCAACGGAAUGCGAUACCAGCUGAGGACCACCCCCUCUUCACCACCACACCACACUGAGCACCAUGGUGAAGUCUAGUUCAACUACACCCAUGACAGGCAUGCCAUGGGGAGGCCUUCAUCCAGCAGUGGAUUGACAAAGGUUCCACGUGCCACGACCGGCGCACACAAAUAUUUCUGUAACUUCACACCUUUACAUUUGUAUUGCAUUUUACGCGUCAUUUACAUUUAGUCAAUUCUUGGUAACAAUUUACAAAAUAUUUGCGAUUAACGCGAGCACUGCUAAGUAAGUGACCAUGUGUGACCAUACCCCACGUAAAUUGUCUCGCGCACCCCCCAGAGAUGUCGCGUGCACCCCCAGGAACACGCGUGCCUCAGGACGGGAGCUUCCUAUCUAAACAAAAGAGCUCAUCAGCGCACAGCUGUCAGAAAUGUCGAGAGCAUCAAGAAGUUAUAGAUUUCGGAGCCCCUUGCCACACCGUUGUACUUUCUGCUCAUCUCUUUUCUUGUCGCCGCGCUGUCUUCUCGUUGUUCCCUUUCCUUCGUUUUCUCAAAUCACAGCGUGAGUGUCAUGCUCGUAUUGUGCCGGUGUCGUAUGUACCCGGAUUCUGUACUUAGAAGAAGAACACACAUUUUAGAAGUAGUGUGCGGUUAAUUCAAUAGCACGCCAGUUGGCGGAAUACUCAUUUGAAGUCUCUAAUUUUUUUUCUUGAGCAAGUUUCAUAUAUAAAAAAAAAUAAUGACGGGGAGGGGAAAAAAGGAGGCUUUGAUAAGCAGCGGUCAUGUUCAGCGUAGUUGACUGGCACUGGAUAGCUUCCCUCUGGCCGGGAGCAUUAACAUGACAAUCACCGCCGAGCCUUUCCCGCAUCUCACAUUCCCCUGCUGCAAGUCGCUGCAGACGUUUCUAACCAUCUGCACAAAAACUUGUUUUGCCGUAGGAAAUUGGGGUAGGAGGAAAAGAAACACUGCGAGCAACAUGAAACCCCUUGGACCGCUACCAAAAUCGUGUUAAAACAGUUACCAGCGCAAUUUUUUUUUAUAGCAAUGGGGAUAGAUUCUAGACGCAUUCGUUGUGUUACACACUGCAUUAUUAUCAUCACUAUUUUGGCCUAACAUCUUCGACUACGUCAAUGAUGUACUUUGCGAACGUGCUGCGUUGUGAAAGGGGUGAACUCAAAGACGAAAUGUUCAUGCAGCAAUCGUUCACCAAACAAUAUUUCCACCGUACAACUUUGCGGAGUGUGAAAAUUACACAACUGGCAUUUAAAAUUUCCCAUACAUUUCAUGUUAUGUCCACCAUAAACGGGGAGGCUACGCAACAGUGGGGUUUUUUAGGUCUGUCUCUCUUCGGCAUCAUCCAUAUCACGUCGACAAGUCGACGUUGUAAAGAAGAAAAGAUUUGGCAUAUGUCAGACUCGUUGUGCGCGAUGGGAUGCAAUGUCACGUGUCCCUAUUAGAUUUCAAAAUUCCCCGAUGCCCCCCACGCCGCCCCACCCAUUGCGGGCCGCGGUGAGAGCGUCACAGACGCGGGACAUUAAUGGAUUUCCUUAAUUGCAUUCUUACGAGAACGGGUGUCCACAGGUCCACUGCCCACCCUCUCGUUUUCAGAGAUAUACUACACCUCGGCAUUGCCCUUUUCGCGCGGCGACAAACUCGUGACAGGCUACCCCCUUGAGCGCCGAUACGCCGGCCGUAAAAAAAAAAGAGAAUGAUUGAUGCCAUCAUCACUCUCCACACAUACCUUAAAGACGUUUUUGGCAAGAGGACGUGCUGACGAUGUUAAAGUGAUAACAGUCGUGGAGCUGCAAUAAUAAUAAUAAUAAAAAGCUCUUCCUUCAUGUCGGUGCAAUAACGGGGCAGGGAGCGGUGGCGCAGCGGUGAGCGCGCCGGAUGCAAGAAUUAACUUGGCGAGCCGACUUGGAUUUCAGGCCACGGCCAACAUCGGUGGCAAGUGAUAUCAGAACUGGUCGCUCGUGCGCCGUCCCUCCCUUCACCAACCCGCACCGAUGAGUUUUGGUGAAGUUUGGUGCAAAAAAAAACCCCACGACUGAACGUGGAGUGGGGAGAAACAUGGCAAUAUCUCACGCCGCGUCCGUUAAAAUGUGAGCAUUUUCUCGACGUUAUCAUGAUAAUUGACUUCAUUUUACUAGGUGAGAGAACCCACCUUUUGCAAUGGUGACCUGGGUCAACAAGUUACAAGGACGCCUCACUGGUGUAUCAAAUUAGCAGGACACGUGGUGGGGUAAAGUGUGGGCACUCACAUCUCCUAAGUCACCUGGACAACGUAUGUGCUCCAUUGAGCUCUCUCUAGAGGUCAUUUUGCGAUCAGUGGCGUGAGGAAGCAGUUGCAGGUCUUCACUUUUGUUCGCCGCGGUGCCGAGAUGUUAACUACCUCGCCUGGUAUACAGCAGGUCACGGAUUCGAUUUCAACUAUGACGCCUACUGUAUAUUUUGAGUUUGCGUGUACUUCCCGUGGUCGUGUGGAUUUUUCUCCGCGCCCUCCGUUUUUUCCCUCCACAUUUAGAAAGACGCAUUUAAAGUAUUUGGCUGCUAUAAAUUUCCACGUAAUAAGCCGUUUCGUUAAGGCCAUCAAUUAUGGCCAGGGCACUUAUAAAAAAAGAGCUAUGCAGCUCAGUGGGCCUUACCUGGUAAAAUAAUGUUAAAAGUUUAAUCGUUUAGUUUUUACCUCCGUUACAAAGCUAAGAGAUGCUCAGUCGUUCAUCAUUAAUUUGACACGGUGCACAAACAAAUUGCAACACUUUCUGCAAAUGAUAAUAAACUGCACGCGUUAAGAAAGAAAACUAAAGCGAAACAAAUGUGGAAUUACGGUCAGAUGAUCGAUUCACGGCAACGAGUAAUUCAAAUUAAUUUCAUGCUUAAAAAAUUGCGUGUUAAAUAUGGCAUACAGUGUGCCAAUAGCAACCAUACAGAUGCUUAACGAUUGAGUGGAAGUCCUCCUAACGACUUUGGGACUUUCAAAAACAUUUUGAAAAAUGAUUGGCAAUUGUGGUGUUUUUAUUGAUGAGAUAUCCCUUCAUUAACCAUGCAUAUUAAUAUACUCCCCAUGCCUCCUCUAAUCUCCCCGAUCUUUGGUCCUACCGUUUGGUAGGGAAAAGGUCCCAGAAUGAUCCCUCAUCAGCCCCCAUUAGGGGGUAGAAUUUCGCCUAGGGUGCGACUUCCGUUCCCAUAUUCUCCGCGCGCGAGUUUGUUCACCCUCUCGUGUGUUCGUGCUUGCAGUUUAUCGGCAGGUCGGGUGUAGUGGUGUAAAAUGUGAGUACUCUCACCGCUGUCAAAACGUCUGUCUGGCUAGUGUGGAACAAGUAGCCUCUAGCGGGGCUCUCUGGAGCUUCGACAAUGUAAGACGUUCUACCUACGGUGGUAUAAGCAUUUUCAGCGCCGUCAUAAUCUACAUUUUUUU